rnacentral:tRNA from 1 species
GGGGGAUUGGCUCAGUGGUUAGAGCUUAGGUCUCAUAACCGAAAGGUCGCGGGAUCGAAUCCUGCUAGAGGCUG